rnacentral:rRNA from 1 species
GAGUUUGAUCGUGGCUCAGAUUGAACGCUGGCGGCAUGCCUUACACAUGCAAGUCGAACGGCAGCACGGGAGCUUGCUCCUGGUGGCGAGUGGCGAACGGGUGAGUAAUGCAUCGGAACGUAUCCUGGAGUGGGGGAUAACGUAGCGAAAGUUACGCUAAUACCGCAUAUUCUGUGAGCAGGAAAGCGGGGGACCUUCGGGCCUCGCGCUCUUGGAGCGGCCGAUGUCGGAUUAGCUAGUUGGUGAGGUAAAGGCUCACCAAGGCGACGAUCCGUAGCAGGUCUGAGAGGAUGAUCUGCCACACUGGAACUGAGACACGGUCUAGACUCCUACGGGAGGCAGCAGUGGGGAAUUUUGGACAAUGGGGGCAACCCUGAUCCAGCCAUGCCGCGUGAGUGAAGAAGGCCUCGG